GUUAGGAAUAUUGGACAAUGGGCGAAAGCCUGAUCCAGCCAUGCCACGUGAACGAUGAAGGCCUUCGGGUUGUAAAGUUCUUUAGCCGAUGAUUAUAAUGACUGUAGUCGGAAAAUAAGCCCCGGCUAACUUCGUGCCAGCAGCCGCGGUAAUACGAAGGGGGCGAGCGUUAUUCGGAAUCACUGGGCGUAAAGCGUGCGUAGGCGGUUUUGUAAGUUAGGAGUGAAAGCCCAGGGCUCAACCUUGGAAUUGCUCUUAAAACUGCAAGGCUCGAAUCUCAGAGAGGAUAGCGGAAUUUCCAGUGUAGCAGUGAAAUGCGUAGAUAUUGGAAGGAACACCAGUGGCGUAAGCGGCUAUCUGGACGAGUAUUGACGCUGAGGCACGAAAGCGUGGGGAUCAAACAGGAUUAGAAACCCUUGUAGUCC
rnacentral:rRNA from 1 species